GCAGUGGUAGUUCAGUGGUAGAAUUUUCACCUUUCAUGUGAGGGACCUGGUUUUGAUUCCUGGCCGGUGCA
rnacentral:tRNA from 1 species